rnacentral:rRNA from 1 species
UACAGAGGUCCCGAGCGUUGUUCGGAUUCACUGGGCGUAAAGGGUGCGUAGGUGGUUGUGCAAGUCUGAUGUGAAAUCUCCGGGCUCAACCCGGAAACUGCCAUUGAUACUAUUAGUCUUGAAUUCUGUUGAGGUGGGCGGAAUACAUCAUGUAGCGGUGAAAAUGCUUAGAUAUGAUGUAGAACACCGAUUGCGAAGGCAGCUCACUAAGCAGAACAUUGACGCUGGAGGCACGAAAGCGUGGGGAUCAAACAGG